AUUGAACGCUGGCGGCAGGCCUAACACAUGCAAGUCGAGCGGAUGAAGGGAGCUUGCUCCUGGAUUCAGCGGCGGACGGGUGAGUAAUGCCUAGGAAUCUGCCUGGUAGUGGGGGAUAACGUCCGGAAACGGGCGCUAAUACCGCAUACGUCCCGAGGGAGAAAGUGGGGGAUCUUCGGACCUCACGCUAUCAGAUGAGCCUAGGUCGGAUUAGCUAGUUGGUGGGGUAAAGGCCUACCAAGGCGACGAUCCGUAACUGGUCUGAGAGGAUGAUCAGUCACACUGGAACUGAGACACGGUCCAGACUCCUAAGGGAGGCAGCAGUGGGGAAUAUUGGACAAUGGGCGAAAGCCUGAUCCAGCCAUGCCGCGUGUGUGAAGAAGGUCUUCGGAUUGUAAAGCACGUUAAGUUGGGAGGAAGGGCAGUAAGUUAAUACCUUGCUGUUUUGACGUUACCAACAGAAUAAGCACCGGCUAACUUCGUG
rnacentral:rRNA from 1 species